rfam:Gluconobacter morbifer G707 75_6, whole genome shotgun sequence.
GGGCACAUAGCUCAGUUGGUAGAGCAGCUGACUCUUAAUCAGCGGGUCCAAGGUUCGAGCCCUUGUGUGCCCA